rnacentral:rRNA from 1 species
AUUGAACGCUCGCGGCAGGCCUAACACAUGCAAGUCGAGCGGAGCGGCGGACGGGUGAGUAAUGCCUAGGAAUCUGCCUGGUAGUGGGGGAUAACGUCCGGAAACGGGCGCUAAUACCGCAUACUAUCAGAUGAGCCUAGGUCGGAUUAGCUAGUUGGUGGGUUAAAGGCCUACCAAGGCGACGAUCCGUAACUGGUCUGAGAGGAUGAUCAGUCAAACGGGAACUGAGAAACGGUUCCGACUCCCACGGGAGGCAAGAGGGGGGAAUAAUUGGAAAUUGGCGAAAGCCUGAUCCAGCCCAGCCGCGUGUGUGAAGAAGGUCUUCGGAGUGUAAAGCAAUUUAAGUUGGGAGGCGUUACCAACAGAAUAAGCAACGGCCAAAUUCGGGCCAGCAGCCGCGGUAAUAC